CUUUACUGUAACCUGGUAUUGGGUUCGGGCUUUGACUGCGCAGGAUAGGUGGGAGACUAUGAAGCAAUCCUUGUGGGGAUUGUGGAGUCAACAGUGAGAUACCACUCUGUCAGAGCUAGGAUUCUAACCUUCACCCGUUAUCCGGGGAAGGAACCGUAUCAGGCGGGCAGUUUGACUGGGGCGGUCGCCUCCUAAAUGGUAACGGAGGCGCGCAAAGGUGUUCUCAGGCUGGUUGGAAAUCAGCCGCAGAGUGUAAAGGCAGAAGAACGCGUGACUGUGAGAGUGACAACUCGAGCAGGGUGGAAACACGGCCUUAGUGAUCCGACGGCUUGUGCGUGGAAAUGCCGUCGCUCAACGGAUAAAAGUUA
rnacentral:rRNA from 1 species